rnacentral:lncRNA from 1 species
GUAUUGUCUUGGCUUAAGUUUCUUGAAUUCACGAGGUUUAGCUUACGGAGAAUUUCAACUUUCAUAUUGCAAUUAGAGGAACCAAAUAGGGUCGAAAAAAAUACUCAACACAAAGAUUAUUACCACGAAUCCACCGCAAUAAAAAAUUUGAAUUCGAACCUAGGUAGCCGAAUGAGCGGUGCGUCUGAGGCUAUAAGACGGCACAUAGUUGAGAUUGAGAGUAAUGGGGAUGGGGGGCGGUGCGAUCACGGGCUUGGUGGCGCAGAUGCGAUGUUGGUUUACUGCUGUCUGCUGCAAGUUGUGGCGGUGCAUCUGUUGCGUGCUGGACUAAGCGGCAAGGUGGAAACCGGAGGGAGGAGGAGGCGAGACCGACGCACGAGGGACAAGGCGCCGUCAUGAAGCGAACGACGGCGAGGCGUCAUAGAGAAUUCAUGAAGUAAAGC